GACCCCUUAGCUCAGUGGUAGAGCGUCGCAUUCCAGUUGAUAGUUCCGUAAUCCUUUCGCGAAGGCCGUCCGUUCGAUCCGGGCAGGGGUCA